GUUAUAUGGUCAAGUGAAGAAGCGCAUACGGUGGAUGCCUUGGCAGUCAGAGGCGAUGAAAGACGUGGUAGCCUGCGAAAAGCUUCGGGGAGUCGGCAAACAGACUUUGAUCCGGAGAUCUCUGAAUGGGGGAACCCACCUAGGAUAACCUAGGUAUCUUGUACUGAAUCCAUAGGUGCAAGAGGCGAACCAGGGGAACUGAAACAUCUAAGUACCCUGAGGAAAAGAAAUCAACCGAGAUUCCCUUAGUAGUGGCGAGCGAACGGGGAUUAGCCCUUAAGCUUCAUUGAUUUUAGCGGAACGCUCUGGAAAGUGCGGCCAUAGUGGGUGAUAGCCCCGUACGCGAAAGGAUCUUUGAAGUGAAAUCGAGUAGGACGGAGCACGAGAAACUUUGUCUGAACAUGGGGGGACCAUCCUCCAAGGCUAAAUACUACUGACUGACCGAUAGUGAACCAGUACCGUGAGGGAAAGGCGAAAAGAACCCCGGAGAGGGGAGUGAAAUAGAACCUGAAACCGUAUGCGUACAAGCAGUGGGAGCCUACUUGUUAGGUGACUGCGUACCUUUUGUAUAAUGGGUCAGCGACUUAUAUUCAGUGGCAAGCUUAACCGUAUAGGGUAGGCGUAGCGAAAGCGAGUCUUAAUAGGGCGUUUAGUCGCUGGGUAUAGACCCGAAACCGGGCGAUCUAUCCAUGAGCAGGUUGAAGGUUAGGUAACACUGACUGGAGGACCGAACCCACUCCCGUUGAAAAGGUAGGGGAUGACUUGUGGAUCGGAGUGAAAGGCUAAUCAAGCUCGGAGAUAGCUGGUUCUCCUCGAAAGCUAUUUAGGUAGCGCCUCAUGUAUCACUCUGGGGGGUAGAGCACUGUUUCGGCUAGGGGGUCAUCCCGACUUACCAAACCGAUGCAAACUCCGAAUACCCAGAAGUGCCGAGCAUGGGAGACACACGGCGGGUGCUAACGUCCGUCGUGAAAAGGGAAACAACCCAGACCGCCAGCUAAGGUCCCAAAGUUGUGGUUAAGUGGUAAACGAUGUGGGAAGGCUUAGACAGCUAGGAGGUUGGCUUAGAAGCAGCCAUCCUUUAAAGAAAGCGUAAUAGCUCACUAGUCGAGUCGGCCUGCGCGGAAGAUGUAACGGGGCUCAAACCACACACCGAAGCUGCGGGUGUCACGUAAGUGACGCGGUAGAGGAGCGUUCUGUAAGCCUGUGAAGGUGAGUUGAGAAGCUUGCUGGAGGUAUCAGAAGUGCGAAUGCUGACAUGAGUAACGACAAUGGGUGUGAAAAACACCCACGCCGAAAGACCAAGGGUUCCUGCGCAACGUUAAUCGACGCAGGGUUAGUCGGUUCCUAAGGCGAGGCUGAAAAGCGUAGUCGAUGGGAAACAGGUUAAUAUUCCUGUACUUCUGGUUACUGCGAUGGAGGGACGGAGAAGGCUAGGCCAGCUUGGCGUUGGUUGUCCAAGUUUAAGGUGGUAGGCUGAAAUCUUAGGUAAAUCCGGGGUUUCAAGGCCGAGAGCUGAUGACGAGUCGUCUUUUAGAUGACGAAGUGGUUGAUGCCAUGCUUCCAAGAAAAGCUUCUAAGCUUCAGGUAA
rnacentral:rRNA from 1 species